CCCCCCCCCGCCCCCACCCAAGGACCACCCCCUACCCCCCCAGGGAGACCCCAAGGCAGGACUACGGGCCACGGUGCUCUUCCCAGCGGCCCCAAAAGCGGCUCUCCAGGGUGGCUGUCCGGGAGCCCCGGAGAGGGGGCCGCUGGGCCCUGCCCUCGAGGAGCUUACAGUGAAACGGGACAACUUCCAGUGAGCUGGAAAGGAGCUCGGGGGUCCCCAUCAGCCACCCUUUAUCUCCCAGAGAAGCCGGAGGGGCCGCAAAAGCCAGCAGUUGCCCGAGUCAGGCAGGGGCAGAUGGUCCUCUGGUUCUCCCGGAUCCAGGGGUGAAAGCUGGCCGGGUACCCUGGGAAAGCCCACGAAGGGCCGCUGGUGGCCGAGGGGAAGCGCUGCCCUGGGAUACGGGAGAGGGACGCCAUUUCCGGGAGGCCUUGUUCUGACCCGUCUUAGGUUCCCUCCAAGCCAGCUUCUUUGACUUUGGGGAACGUUCCCCUCCCUUUAUUGAGAGAGAAGCUGGGGCCCAGAGGCAGCGAAACCCCAUGUCCAAGGAAGGAAACCAGCAUUAAUUAAGCACCAGGCACUGUGCUAAGCAUGUAUCAGUAUUAUCUGAGACCCACUACGACCGUGAGAGGGACAAGCAGAAAAUACAGCUGAUCUUCCUGCGUGAUAACCAUUCAGGGAUCGAAGUCAUCUCUUGGGUAAAUAUCCCCAGCCUUCAGAAGGAACCUCCAUUUCAUGCCAUGAUGCUUCGAGGAGUGUACCAGCCUUGUAGUACCACAACAUGGACUGAACUGGAGGCAUCUAAAAGCAUCAACACAAAGCACUAACAAGAUACAAUGUAACAGCUCUGAAAUGUUUCCAUCUCAUUCUCUUCAUAAUAAAGCAAAUCCUCGA